AACUAAUUAAUAGUCUCGUGAUCCCAUCAAUAAUUCCACAAAAAAAUACAGGCCAGAGGCAGAGCCAGGCUGCAGCUGCAGGAGGGUUCAGCCGGCUGCCGGCAGCAGCCUAUAUAUAACAGUAGAGGCGCACACGUCCCAGGCGGCAGGAAGCUCACGCCAAGAGACCCCGCUCCCGAUCCCGUCUCCUCCUCGCAGUCGCUGCUUCGCGAGGAGCCGAAGAUGCUGCUCCUGCGGGCGUCGACGCCGUUCGCGUACGCCAAGGUGGACAAGGUGGACGCGGAGGAGGCGCGGCACCUCAGGGCGCAGUUCCUCAUCCACAAGGUGCUCGAGAAGAAGAGUCCCCGGCCGUCAGCGCUGGCGCGGGCCAGGCCCAGGAUCGGCGUCCGCCUCAAGAAGCUCAGGCUCGCCGUCCGGGCCCUCAGGGCGCGCGCGUGCCGUGCCCUGCAGAGGCACCUCGGGAACCUGAGGCGGCUCGUUGGGCGCGGAGGAGUUCAGGGGUCGCCGUGAUGAGUUCUCGACUGAAAUAUCUGAGCUUUGGGUGCUGUUGCGUGCCCGUGGCCGGUGGGGGCAAAUCAAAGAAACAUCUGAGCUUUGGUGAGACUGAGAGAUCGGUGUCAGUUUGUAUGCGUUUUAAUUAGGUGUUGGAGUGGAAUCAUAUAUACAUACAGAAUGUGCAAUAUCUAGUAGCAGCAAAAGAAAUGCUCCCCCCUGCAUUUUUAUGCCUCCCUCUGUUUUGGAAUCCUGCCCUGCGUGUUCUGCAGAUGUCAUCGGAGAUCUCUUCUUCCCCAGUACUCCUGUAGUAGUUUUUUUUUUCUUUUCA